GUGGGGAAUUUUGGACAAUGGGCGCAAGCCUGAUCCAGCCAUUCCGCGUGCAGGAUGAAGGCCUUCGGGUUGUAAACUGCUUUUGUACGGAACGAAAAGCCUCUGGUUAAUACCCGGGGGUCAUGACGGUACCGUAAGAAUAAGCACCGGCUAACUACGUGCCAGCAGCCGCGGUAAUAAGUAGGGUGCGAGCGUUAAUCGGAAUUACUGUGCGUAAAGCGUGCGCAGGCGGUGAUGUAAGACAGUUGUGAAAUCCCCGGGCUCAACCUGGGAACUGCAUCUGUGACUGCAUUGCUGGAGUGCGGCAGAGGGGGAUGGAAUUCCGCGUGUAGCAGUGAAAUGCGUAGAUAUGCGGAGGAACACCGAUGGCGAAGGCAAUCCCCUGGGCCUGCACUGACGCUCAUGCACGAAAGCGUGGGGAGCAAACAGGAUUAGAUACCCUUGUAGUCC
rnacentral:rRNA from 1 species